rnacentral:lncRNA from 1 species
AUUUUGGUUUGGUCCUUUUUAGGACUUGUUCUUGAUUGAAUAAACAUGCUUUGUGUUGAAUAUCAAGUUCUGUUUUGGUUUUUGAUUCACUUUUGACCCUAGGCUUUGACCUAGUGGUUUGGACUUACCAUUUGAGUUGUGAAUUUCAGGUUCAAGUAUGCAUCUCCAUGAUUGAUGUUGCUCCUUCAUUUGAGCUUGAUCAUUUGUUACUGUUGGCUAACAUUUGUUUGUUUUGUAGGCUUUGAUGAAGGUUCACUUGUGUUUAUGGCU